CAUGGACGGAGCGCAGGAAGCGCAAUGGACAGAACAGGGACACCGUAGGAUUUCCUGCCAGGAUGGCGGGGUGAAAUGGAAGUCACAGGGAAACAGUCUGGAAAACCCCGCUUCGGCGGGGUUUU
rnacentral:sRNA from 1 species